GUGUUUUAUGAAAGGAAGGAAGGUUAGCACUCCCCUUGAUAAGGCCGGACAACACACAUACUGUCAAGGCACUGUUGACACCCGAUACCAUUUU